CUACAGUUUUUUUUUCUCAUGUGCCCUAGUAGAUUUCUAUUACAAUCAUUGGAGAAUCGUGAUUAAACAGGAUUACAAUUUACAUUCAUUAUUUAUUAUUAUUUUCACAUUGAAAAGACAUCUGUAAUCAUAGGUAGGAGAUAGAGAAGAAGAGUAGGUGUAUAGUGCUGCAUGUUCUUUUGGAAAGAGCACCAUACUAGGAAAUCAGGAAAUCUAGCUUCUAACAUUUUCUGGCUUGAUUCUGGCCAAAUUAUUUCAUUGUUUUGAGUUUAUUGUCUUCUUAUCUGAAAGAAAUGGAGUUUAUCUAGAAAAGGCUGGCCAAUAUUUAGAAGACUAAUACUACUUUCUCAUUUCCUUAAGUUAUAAGCAUCUGAUAAUUUAUUUAAAGCAGAUAUCAUCUGUCAGGAUGUUGUAGUAUUUUAUUUAGCAACAUUUGAAAAGGUGAAGAUUGUCUAAAGUAGUAUUUUCAGUUAUGUUAAUUUAAAAUUACAGAAAUUGAUAUAAGCUGCAAUUUUAAAUUGUUGUUGAAUAUCUUGGUCCUUUGUUUAAUCUUUUAUUAUGAGAUAUUUUAUGAAUGCUGAAGAAUACAUCAAUUUAAGUAAUUUCCAAAAUGAGGGACAAAGUGAACCAUAGAAAAUUUAUCUUGCAACUUGAGAACUUUUAAAGCCUCCUUAUUGUACAUUAUGCCUGUAAUGAAAAUGACUAACAAAAAUCAAGUAUAUAUUCCAUUUUAAGUUGUAUUAACUCAACAGGAAGAAAUACAUUGUAAAGGAGUAAGCCCAAAAGAAGUGAUAGGAAUACAUUUUGAUGAUAUUUGCCAUCCUGACUUGUUUACAGACUCUAACAAUUUAUCUGUAUAUCCACAUUCAUGGCAACAUUAUUCACAACAGCCAAAAGGUGGAAGCACUCCCAAGUGCCCACUGACAGAUGGAUGGAUAAACAAAAUGUUAUAUAUGUGUGUGUAUACACACAUGUACAUCAUAUACAUAUAUACAAAUAUACAUACAUACAUGUAUAAAUACAGAUUAAAAAGGAAGGAAAAGGGGGAAAUUUUGCCGUAAUGAGACACGAUGAACAUUAGAGACAUUGUACUAGGUGAAAUACCAGUCAUAGAAGGACAAAUACUGUAGGAUUCCUCUUAUAUGAGGCUCCUACAUUAUUCAAAUUCACAGAGACAAAAGUAGAAUUAUGGUUGCCAAGUGCUGGAGGGAGGGGAACAGGAGCUUGUGUUUAAUACAGAGUUUCAGUUGGGGAGGAUGAAACAGUUCUGGGGGUGAAUAGUGGUGAUAGUUACACAAUAAUGUAAUAUGAUUGUAUUUAAUGUCACGAAUCACAACUUAAAGUGAUCAAAGUGGGAAAUUUUGUUAUAUGUACUUUACUGCAAAUUUUCAAGAAAUCAAGUCCACUUACCCUGCUGGUAAGAUGAUGUUUUUUUAAAAUCCACAUGUAAAAGCUAUGUGGAGAAGGAGAGGCCAUGAGACUAUAAAAACAGUCACCCAGAUACCUCAGUAUACCAGCUGAGCCCAGUCCUCAGAUGAUGCUAUACAGUGACCACAAGCAAGCUAGCAAAAGAACUGAAACAACUCAUCCCGUCCCAGAUGGAAGAUUAUUGAACAAAUGAAUCCAAGUUGUAUUAAGCCACUAAAUUUUAGGAAUGGUUUAUUAUACAGCAAAGAUAACUGAAGCAAUGUGCAUGUGACUUGACCCAGGAAUGGUUUCUAGUUGAUAUCCUUGGCCUAGGAAAAAAUUUGUAUAUAUGGAGAGAUGUCUAGUUUUUGCCUGUUGGUGCAAUAACAAAGAGGAAAAAGAGGGAAGGAAAUCAAAAGAAAAGAAAGUAUCAUGAAAUAAGUAAUUUAAUACCCUAUUAUAGAUAAACAGGAAUACAUUUUUAUGAUUUUUCACAUUAAUGUGGUUUUAUACAGCAAAUAAAAAGAAUGUAACAUAAAUAAAUUUCAAAAUGUAAUGAUGAGGAGAAAGUGACUCACAGAAUAAAUAUGGCAUGCUACUAUUGAAUUUCAAAUAAGCAAAAAUGUAUGGAUGCAAGUAUAUGUAGUUAAAGAAUAAAAACAUGGAGCUGGAGAUAUAGCUCAGAGGUAGAACACUUGAUAUGGUCUUGGGAUCAAUCCCUAACACUGCAAAAUAUAAAAUAAAAGCAUGGAUGGGAAUAAUAAAUGUGGUUCUGUAUCCUGGAUGUUGAUUAGUUCUACAGAGGGAGAAAUGUGGCUGUUACUAAAAAAGAGUACAAAAAUACCUCAUCUCUUCCCAUGGUUUCAUUUUUAAAAUUUCAGGAAAGAAUUAUAAAUGGUCAAUGCCUUUUUAGAAAUGGAGUAUUUACCUUAGUCUCAAAGUAUCUCUCUGUAAGAAAGUUAUUAAUUACAAAGGGAAACACAAUAAUUUUACAAUAGGGAGAGCUGGAAGUUACAAGGAAGUUACCCUAGUGAUCAAAG
rnacentral:lncRNA from 1 species